AACAGGAGGGUAAGGUCAAAGAUAAAAGUGAGGAAAGGAGAAGAAAGGUCAAAAUAAACACGAAUGAGAGAAUAACAGGAGGGUAAGGUCAAAGAUAAAAGUGAGGAAAGGAGAAGAAAGGUCAAAAUAAACACGAAUGAGAGAAUAACAGGAGGGUAAGGUCAAAGAUAAAAGUGUAGAAAGGGGAGAAGAAAGGUCAAAAUAAACACGAAUGAGAGAAUAACAGGAGGAUAAGGUCAAAGAUAAAAGUGUAGAAAGGAGAAGAAAGGUCAAAAUAAACACGAAUGAGAGAAUAACAGGAGGGUAAGGUCAAAGAUAAAAGUGUAGAAAGGGGAGAAGAAAGGUCAAAAUAAACACGAAUGAGAGGAGAACAGGAGGGUAAGGUCAAAGAUAAGAGUAUAGAAAACAGAAGAAAGGUCAAAAUAUCAUCCAUGGGUGGGAGAACCGGGUAGGCGUGACGAAAGAAGUGGUUAAUUGCCUUAUGUGUAAAGCAGAACAGGUGGUCAUAGGUGAAAGGGGGCACCGGUGGAUAGGCCGACAAAAAGAGGUGGAGUGAUACGUGGAACAGAUAGGCGAGGGGAUGGGUGGAAGGACGGGGGGAGGAGGAUGAGAGUAGACGAGUAAAAGAAGUGGAAGAGGGAGAGGCGAGGGAGAAAUUAGUUAGAGGAUGGAAGAAAAGUUGUAACGGAAAGGUUGAUGGAAGGAAAGGUUAAGGAAAGAAACGAAGAGAAUAGACAGGCAAAAAAACAAGAAGUGAAAUACAGAACAACAGGUGGGAAUGAAGAUAGACAGAAAGGUGAGAAAGAAAGUGAAAAGAAGAGGUGAAGGAGAAAGUAGUUAGACGAUGGAAGAAAAGGCAUAAGGAAAAGAAAGAUGAAGGAGGAAAAAGAUGCAAAAAAUAAGUAAGGUUACCAUAUAAAAAAAACAGAUGGAAAUAAGGAUAGACAGAAAGAUGGAGAAGACAGCGUAAGGAAGAAGAGGAGAGGGAGAAUGUUAACGAUGGAAGAACAGGGAUAGAGAAGGUAGAUGGAGGAGGAUAGAGAAGCAAAAAUAAGUAAGGUUAACAUAUAAAACAGACGGGAAUGAAGAUGGACAGAAAGGUAUGGAAGAAAGCGGAAAGAGGAAGAGGUGACGGAGAAAUUAGACGGUGGAAGAACAGGUAUAAGGGAAAAAUAGAUGGAGUAAAAAUCAUAACUAAAACUCGUAAAUAAAACUCUUAAUAAAAAAUCGUAAACAAAAAUCGUAAUAAAAAAUCGCAAACAAAAAUCGCAAAAAAAAAUCGCAAACAAAAAUCGUAAACAAA